CCCAAGUGUCUUUCUCCGUCUUCUGCUUCCUGCGGAGAAAAAUCCUGGAACCGCCAGGUCUGCAUGCCGUCAGGGAUGGGGAGCUGACCCAGUGAACGUGGCGGGUGCGCCCCAGAGUCCAGCCCGGGCCGAGGGGUGUCCUCGGUGGCUCGGUGGAAGGGUGGGAGGCAGCACCGGGGAGGAGACUCGCAGUGGGAUCCCUGCUUCAGAGCAGAGGCAGGAAACUGUCAGAAAGGAGCAGAUUCUGGGUUUGCAUAGCCUGAAGUAGCGGUCGUUAUCCGGCUCACGAAUAUCACCACAUCCAGAAGGCCUCACCGUGAUGGUGAAAGGUCUGCACCAAGUUUCAGGAAACAGCUGUAUGUUCCACCUUCUCUGUACUUUCCCAAAAGGAACAGAAAAAGAACAGAUCCCAGGCGAGUUGUUUAUUUAUUCACUUCUCAUAUUGUCUUCCAUUGCAGGAAACAAUUAAAGAUUAAAAUAAAAAUUAUCAAGGAAUAUAUAGAGUUAACAGAUCUAAAACAAGGAAAAGUCAGC
rnacentral:lncRNA from 1 species